UGUCACAAUGGAAAGGCUGCCUUUAGCUAAAAGGGAAAAAGAGAAAGAUAUAGACGUUUUCCUUUCAUUAGUGGCACAAUACCUGAAGGAGAGGAGUCCCAGUUUCUCCUACACAUAGGAGAUGUGAAUUUUAGGAAUGGACUGAAGAUUUUGGAGAAGAGGAUAUCACUUUUUAACCAUCUCCUGCAAGCUACACACAGGCUACAGAAAACACGAGUCCUUCAAAUACCAUGUAUGUUUGCUUAAAAUAUUGUUAUAGCAUCAUUACUUUUUAUCAUCAGAGUAAUUGGUGAUGUCAUUGUUGUGCAGUUUGAAGCAAUGAUACAAUAUAUCAGAUUUUUUUUAUGCCACUAUGAAUUAAGUGUCAAACGGUAUAGUGAAAAGUUCAUAAGGUUAGACAUACUAUAUGCUGUGUUGCGGCUGGAGAUAGAACUAGUUUAUAUGGCUUUAGGCUCACUAGAGAAAAGAGUAGAAUUUUUUUAUGCUCUGUAUAUAUUUUAUAUUAUUUUGAUGAUACAGUCUAAGGCACAUACAGUGGGUAGAGGAAGAGCAGGAAAAGAGACAGACAAAACAAAUUCAUGGACAUGAGUUUGUUCAAUUGAAUGCUAUUACCCCAUAUUGUUGUAAUUAAUUGAAUGAUAAAUUAUUUAUGUAAUUUAAUGAUAAAUUAUAUUUAGCACCUUUAAGUUGAUUUGGGCUGCAGAUUAUAUUUUUAGAAUUUGAUGAUGCAUUUAACAGCAAACAAGAGAUUUAAGUAGUUUUAUAUUUUUAUUUUAAUUCUGCUCAAU